AGCGGUGUUGCACUUCUUUCUAAAAACAUGUUCAAACUUGUCAUAUGAGAGCAUUAAGAUGCCCAUUUCUAGUGGGGUGAAAAACGCAGCCCUCCUCUUCCCAGUUGCCAUGGUGACUCAUCGAAACGGGGCUCCAUUGAUGCUGUCUUUUUAUAAUUGUGGUGCACGUGCUUAACUCCAGGUGAAACUACUCAGAGUUGAUCAAACUAACUCAAAUCAGCUGUUCUGGAACCGAAAACUCAGUUUCCUAUCUGACAGUAGAUCGACUCAGAGUUUAGGGUCAGAAUCAAUGAGUUU